rnacentral:rRNA from 1 species
UACGAAGGUGGCAAGCGUUACUCGGAAUUACUAGGCGUAAAGGGCAGGUAGGUGGUUUGGUAAGUCUGUUGUGAAAGCUCCUGGCUUAACUGGGAGAGGCCAACAGAAACUACCAGGCUUGAGUAUGGGAGAGGGUACUGGAAUUCCCGGUGUAGCGGUGAAAUGCGCAGAGAUCGGGAGGAACACCUAUGGCGAAAGCAGGUACCUGGACCAUUACUGACACUCAGCUGCGAAAGCUAGGGGAGCAAACAGG